AAAUAAAAAUCGGUGUUGUUGCUACCCGUAGUGGUGUUAAUGCAUCGGAAUUGAGUUGUCUUUACCUUUUUUGGUUUAAGUGACUUAAAAUUAUGUACGAUUUUUGAACGUAUUUAAAUUAUUUACGUAUGUUCAUAAUAUCAAAUAUUAGAUGCGGUCAUCCUCAUGAUUCACAUCUAUAAUUUUUCAUU
rnacentral:misc_RNA from 1 species